GUAAAGGGCGCGUAGGCGGUGAUGUGAGUGUGAUGUGAAAGCCCCGGGCUUAACCUGGGAAGUGCAUCGCAAACGACAUGACUGGAGUAGAUGAGAGGGUGGCGGAAUUUCCGGUGUAGCGGUGAAAUGCGUAGAGAUCGGAAGGAACGUCAAUGGCGAAGGCAGCCACCUGGCAUCAUACUGACGCUGAGGCGCGAAAGCGUGGGGAGCGAACAGGAUUAGAUACCCUGGUAGUCCACGCUGUAAACGAUGAGAACUAAAUGUUGGAGGGGGAACCCUUCAGUAUUGAAGCUAACGCGAUAAGUUCUCCGCCUGGGAAGUACAGUCGCAAGACUGAAACUCAAAAGAAUUGACGGGGGCCCGCACAAGCGGUGGAGCAUGUGGUUUAAUUCGAUGCAACGCGAAGAACCUUACCUACCCUUGACAUCCUGCGAAUCCCGAUGAGAGUUGGGAGUGCCGCAAGGAACGCAGAGACAGGUGCUGCAUGGCUGUCGUCAGCCUCGUGUUGUGAGAUGUUGGGUUAAGUCCCGUAACGAGCGCAACCCUUGUCCUUAGUUGCCAUCAUUUAGUUGGGGACUCUAAGGAGACUGCCGGUGAUGAACCGGAGGAACGGCGGGGACGACGUCAAGUCAUCAUGGCCUUUAUGGGUAGGGCUACACACGUGCUACAAUGGGGCGUACAGAGGGUCGCCAACCCGCGAGGGGGAUGCCAAUCUCUUAAGCGUCUCGUAGUCCGGAUUGGAGUCUGCAA
rnacentral:rRNA from 1 species